GAAAUGACUUGAACAUACGUGAGUCAAUUAAACCGUUAGAUUUUCAGAUAAACGUGAGGGUAUGUAGAACUGUGUACACAGUAGGUUUUUUUUUUUUCUCUCCUUCACAGAAUACCCUUGAGUCAUCGUUCAUCUUCCCCGUCUCCUUCCCUACCACAACCACCAUGAAACCUGCAACAAAAAAAGAAGCCAACAUAACCAUCACUGUUCUACGCCACCACGCACACGUCUCUCCCUCUCCCUCACUCGCUGCCUGUCUUAUUCUCAAACAUCGCCGCACUGUUCCGCGCAUCGUGCCAAACCAACUCCUCCGCGGCCCCCAGCCUUCAAGCCACCGUGAAGAGCACGGCGAUGACAAAUUUAACGAAUGAAAACAUGGGUUUCUUAAGAUCUGAUUGCGCCUGAGAGACAGCAACAUUCGCGGAAGAAGACGACGUCGAUGGUCACGGUUAACGUCGGUAGCUACGAUAGGUUCCCGAGCGCGGCGUUAAACCAACUCCUCGCCGUGCCAAGCUUUCAAGCCACCGCGAAAGGCUUUGUUGCCGCUGCGUUCGCGAAUGACAAGUGGACGUUCAGAUCUACGUUUUCUCAAGUGGGCAUUGGCGAAUGACAUGCGUUCAGAUUUGGGUUUUCUCAAGUGGGCGUUCUUGAUUUUUUUUUUCUUUUCCAUUUUUGAUUAUUGUGCUAUGGUUAAGCACCCUAUCCAACUACAGUAUCACUUCCCCACACCUGUCUUACGGUUGUGAUGCUUUACCAAUUUAAAUUCAAAUGGACAAAUACACAUUAAUUUUAGAGUUGGAAAAGAAACUAAAAAGAAUUCAUUAAGGUCAA